AGAGUUUGAUCCUGGCUCAGGAUGAACGCUAGCGAUAGGCUUAACACAUGCAAGUCGAGGGGCAGCAUGAUCUUAGCUUGCUAAGGUCGAUGGCGACCGGCGCACGGGUGCGUAACGCGUAUGCAACUUGCCUUACAGAGGGGGAUAACCCGUUGAAAGACGGACUAAAACCGCAUACACUUGUAUUAUUGCAUGAUAUUACAAGGAAAUAUUUAUAGCUGUAAGAUAGGCAUGCGUCCCAUUAGCUGGUUGGUGAGGUAACGGCUCACCAAGGCGACGAUGGGUAGGGGAACUGAGAGGUUUAUCCCCCACACUGGUACUGAGACACGGACCAGACUCCUACGGGAGGCAGCAGUGAGGAAUAUUGGUCAAUGGGCGAGAGCCUGAACCAGCCAAGUCGCGUGAAGGAAGACAGUCCUAAGGAUUGUAAACUUCUUUUAUACGGGAAUAACGGGCGAUACGAGUAUUGCAUUGAAUGUACCG
rnacentral:rRNA from 1 species